AACACGGCCUCCGAUCGGAGUAUCCAUUGUCGGUGCCUCCACCACUCCUCGGUCGCGUAGCCUCCACCGCGACAGAACAACAUCCUCCAACCCCGGCGGCCUCCAUCUCCCCCUUCUCUUCAACGUGUGACACAACGGCCUCCUCCUCCCCCACCGGCGGACUCCACCACCCCACCGGUCGGCGACCUCAACCGUCCCCGCCCCUGUGCACGCCGUAGAUCCAGAGACAGCUCCACGACAUCAUCUUCUAAGGACCGCAUCUUCGUCUUCAACGGCGACUACGUUGAUCGUGGUGCCUAGGGCCUCGAGGUCUUCCUCCUGCUCCUCGACUGGAAGGUGAAUUAUGUCGCAGAUUUUCCAACUCACUGUUAAGCCUCAUGCAUGUUUUGGUUCCAUUUUUGUUGUUGAAUCUAUGAGAUUUAUGGACGCAGAUUGAUACUAACUGGUUGAGUUGUUUUGAUGGCAGCUCAGACUCUGACGAUAAUGUCUUCUCCCCUUUGUUUGGAUUGGACUUAAUAACAACUGUAGGUUUGCUAAUUUUGCACAAUAAACAAUUAAAUGGAAUCAACAUAGAAUUAUUAUUCAUGACCCACACAAUUUAUCUUGGAGUACUUGUUCUCGUUCCCUCAGAUUUCAAUGGUUGGCAUAUUGAUGAUGUGAUAUCGAUGUACUAAAUAUUGUAUAGCGGGUUGUUGUUAGAGGUAGCAGAUCAUUAAUUCUAAAUUUAAGUAUAUAUAUCAUGAAUAAUGGGUAUAAAUAGACAUUUAACUGUACUAAAAAUAUAAAGUCGCACAUACUUAAAUUGUGAAAAAAUAUGAUGCCAUUUAAACCAUAUGUAUGUUAAGUGAAUUAGAAUUAUUCGUUUGUUUCAUAUUGUAUUCAUACGCUGUAGCUGCAGUUGUAGGAGGUCGCUACGAUCGCUAUUUAGUGCCAUGUGUGAUAUAUAUUUAGACAUUUGAUUGUUAACUCGCACAAGAUGUGAAUCCUCCUUUGACAUUCUAUAGAAAUUUUAAUUCAACCAUCGAAUAGUGUGAAACAUAAAUGAUUGCUAAUUAAUGGUGUUCUUUCUUUCUUUCGAGUGCUACUCCAAAAUUGUGUGUUCCUUCUCCGGGGAAACCAUGAAUCCUUUAAUAUGGUUUUGAGAAGGAGAUAAUGACUAAAUACAAAGAUCAGGGCCCUCAACUUUAUCGAAAAUUUUAAAGAUGUUUUGGGGAGCUUCCUCUAGUGGCAAUAAUAGCAGGAUGUGUGUACACUUCACGUGGAGGUGUCUCAGUAGUUCCAUGGUACAAUUGUAAUGCCAUCAAAUAAUUCAAAAAAGGGGGGAAAGGGUCACAACUACAAGGUGAAUUUUACUGAUGAUUUGACUUCCAUGAAACUUGGAUCAUUGGAUGAGUUAUUGAAAGCAAUGAGAACUGUUCUUGACCCUCCUUAGGAAGGCUCAAAUUUGAUCCCUAGGGAUGUGUUGUGGUCUGACCCUUCCUUGCAGAUGGGUCUUUCUCCGAAUAAAGAACAAGACAAUGGAUUGCUUUGGGGUCCUGAUAUCACCCAGCAAUUUCUGAGGACAAAUCAUUUGAAGGCGAAUUGAUCAUGUGGAGGUCUGGAAGUGUAAUGGUGGUUUAUCGAGGGAGCAUUUACAAAAGGCCUCUAAAAUCUCAAGCUCUAAAUGGUGCCUCAUCAUCGGUUAAAGGCGAAUAUGGUGCAUUGUUCAUCCCAAAUGCCUCGAACGCUGUUGAGAAUGAUAUUCAUGGGAUAUAUUUGUCUGCAAAACAUGCAACUGUGUCCCUAUUGAAUGUGUAGAAUAUUGAGCACAUGAAUGAGGAAGGGCUGGAGUUCAAUUAGAUAAUUGAUGAGCUAGGUCCUCAUUUUGUGGAUUGGUGGGAACAGGUAUUUUACCAAUGGAUGUCGACUUGCUGCCUCAAAUAAUCCCUGGUUAUAAUAUACCAUACAGAGUUCUUCCGACUAGAAUGUGUUCGACCCUUACCAACGCUGAGCUGACUAGCCAAAGUUAGUGAGGAACCUUCCAUGCAUUUUGCUCUAGGGAGAAACCAGAACUAUCAAGUUUAGCAGCAGUAAUAUAAUAAGGAGCAUGCUGCAACUGCCCUAGCGCGGCGACGACGAUGAAUAUGGACAUCGAGCGUGUGCUCAAGGAGAAGUUCGGCGACGCUUUCAAGGAAAUCCAUCGGGUGUUCGACGGGGACCAGCUGGCGGCCGAGACAACGUCCGAGGUCAGUGAACGAACUCCACCACUGUAGACAGCACUAUCGUCAUACUAUAAUCAAUAUCACUCAUUGGCAAGCGGAUCCUUUUUAUAAAGGAACAAGAAUGGGCAAUACUCAGAGAACAGACACAGUUAUUUCUACGGCUUGCAAAUUCUCAAUGUAUUGGCCAUAAUUUCCCUCUAAUUUCUAGCACACCUACAUAGUUUACCUUUUCAUAUCACUUACAGAUGUUGAAUAUUAAAUUCAAUAUUAGUGGUUGAUCCGGUGGUUGAUUGUGCUAAUCAACUCUCCAAGUUCUGCUUAUGGUGUAAUGCGAAGUGUCAACACAGUAAAAAACAAUCAUUAAAAAUAGGAAGUGUAGACAUCUCUAAAACAAUGUGAUCAUAAAUUGUUGAACUGCUUAGACAAUGGAACUAUUGCAGAUUAGUCUUAGUUUCUUCCAAUUGCUUUUGCAAGUUUGAAUUUUUAUCCUUUGUUUCUUCAUUUGCUUGCUGGAUAACUGAAAUUUGGUUCUACUGCUAUUCCAAGUCACUCUAAAGAUUCUUGAUUUGAGCCUCAGAUUCUUGUAACUGAGUCAGUGCUACAAUUUUCUAUUUUUGAAGUAACAUAACCUCAUUAUGCAAAUCAGUCUUUGCUGCUUUGAGGUCUUUGUUGUCCUCCUGAAGAUUUGAAAUCUCUUGUACUUGUUGUUCUAACAUUCUCUUAAGAUUAACUAUAGAAGCAACAACUUCAUUCUUUUGAACUUCUACAAUCUCAUUGUGCAUGUUAGCAUUUGCCAGCUUCAGGUUUCAUUAGUUUUCUACAUAUCUUAAAUCCUAUCAAGUUGUUGCGAUAGAUCAUUCUCAAUAUUCAUCAAAGAAGCCUUUAGCCAUUCUAUCUAUUAUGUGGUAGAAUUCUUCUACUUCCAUAGUUCCACAAUAUGACUAUUGGGAACACUUUUUGUUGACUCCAGUUCCUUUUCCAAAUCUUUAACAUUAGAAUGUGCCUCCUCUUCCUCUAACUCAUAGUCACAAGAAACGGGUACAGUGGUAGCGACCCUUGACCCGGAAACACCAUCCUCGACCUGGAUAUGUAGAGUAAUUUUUGUACCUACCAUGUAAAAAUCUCUCAUAGAUAGUGUACCACGUUCCUCGACCCUAUCGAUCCAGGAAUUUUGUGACUAUGCUCUAACUCACUCGUUUACAUAGAAUUUUCUGAUGUUAGCCCUUCUUUUUCUUCUAUAGUUCUGCUGCAAUACUAUGUUCCUUGUCCAAAUUGUCCAUUGUCUUUGUGGUCUCAAUCUUCAAUCCAUCUAUUUUCACCCUCAAUUGCUGGAGUUUUCUUUCAGCUAAAUAAUUUUCUGUGGUCAAUGAUUCAAUUUUAGCUUUGGUUUCUUCGAUGGUUGCCUUCAGUUGAUAACACUCAAUAUCUAAGUUAUGAUGAAGUGCUUUCAGGUUAUCACGCUCCACUGACUGACAGGCUGACAGCAUCAAGUUAUGGUUCUUUAGAUUCUGGUUUUCUUCAAACAAGGUUUGCACCUCUUUCUUAGCCUUCAAGGACAACAUCCCUUUUUGGCCAAAAAAAGAUAACGACCUGCAGCACCAGAGCCCUUGCUCUCAGCCUCACCACGCAUCUGGCUCAGGCCUAGGCACCGCGAGCACCCUCUCCGACUUAGCCCCUCAAGUGGAGGUUCUCGCAGGUGAGAGAGGUGAAACGUCCAUCCUCAAUAUUAUUCUCAGGGUCCUAAUCAUGUUGUAUCACCUACGCUGCAUAGCAGUUCUCCAUAUGUAUUUACUAUUUUCAAAUUGUCGAAUUAUACGCCAGCAACCAAAAAUUUGUCACUUGCCUUUAUGUUCAUAGCACACUUGUUUUGUUUUACAAUUAUGGCUUUUUUUAUCAACUAUUGUACAUUUUUGAUCUAGUUACUGUUGCAGGGUUGUCUUGUCAAAGUAAAUUUCUGCUUCCUAACAUGCUAAUGUUUUUCUUCGUGUUUGGGGUUCUUCACCUCCCUCGCAGCAAAGAAUGUAUUUUUUAUCAAGGGAUAUUUCGUUAAUUAGCUAGAUGAAUAUUAUUACCAAUGUGACCAUUAUGUUGUGGGCAGUGGGACUCAUGUUUGGUCUGUUAACCAUUUUGUGGCCUGAGUUGUUUGGACUCGAUUAAUUUAAGGGAAGCAUGUGGCUUUGCAUGAUCAUAAACCAGAGCUUGGUGUCAUAUGCCUCAUCAAUACAAGAUUGUCCCCAAUACAGGUGGCUCAAGCUGAUUGUCAAGAUGCAUGUUCUGUCUAUUUAAGGGAAUACUGAUCAGCUCCUGAUAUUAACAUAUACGACGAUUCAAAUUUUACAUUUUUGUAAGUCCUAUAAUCUCUCAUAAAUUACCUCCAUGGACUUGGAUCGUUUAAGGGAAUACUGAUAAGCUUUUGAUAUUAACAUAUAUGGUGAUUCAAAUUUUACAUUUCUGUAAAUCCUAUAAUCUCUCAUAAAUCACCUCCAUGGACUUGGAUCGUUAGCGAUGGUAUCAUUUUAUCUGUCAUGGUAAUGUCAUAAAAUGUUUUUAGAAUUCAAUUUGGAUGCCUCUUAUAGAUCACAUAAUUUGUUUGUGCACAUUUCUAUAGCCUCGUUAUUUUGGUCCUUUUAAUUGGCUUACUCUUCGAUAUAAGAAAAACAAACAGAUACAUUUUUUGAAACAUUAGCUAACCUUUUGGCUUCGUCAAAUAUAGACAUCACAUUACACCUACGACUGAUGUUAUUUGAAUUGGUGAAGAACUCUCUCUGCGACUCCGUCUGGUGCAAGACCGAUAUAUUAAUUUUGAUAAAGAUGUUCCUCCAGUGAGAAUUAUAGUUGCUGAUGGAGAAGAGGAUGUUACUAUCAAGAUAUUUUUUAAAUUUUCUUUUGAAAAUGCCACGACUUGAAGCUAUUCUCAUUGUGAUAUGCAUGGUAUCUUCACAUUAUUCAAUGUAGGAGCUAAAGAAAGAAAAACUAAAGAAUGUUGUUGCCAAUAAAAGAACUGCAAGAAAAAAACUGAACAAAAGCUGCAGGAUGAGCUGCAGAGGAAGAAUGAAGAAACAAUCCAACGGAUUGAGACGGCUCAAGAGACGACAAAAGAUGAACUUGUUGCAGCUGUUGUAAAAGAGAAAGCAUCCCAGAUUGACCAAAUUAAUAAACAAUUUAUUAUUCAGUUUUUACAAAAUCGCACUAUUGCAUAUAUCUGUUUUUAUUUAGCAUAUUAUAUGGUUGGAUGCAGUUGUGCCAAUACAAAAAUAAAUUUCAUUUAUGUGACAUCGGCAUCAAUUUAUUCUUGUAUAUAUGUGUUAUAGUCAUAAUUUCUUGGCUACAUAUUCAAAUCUCUAAUUACUUAUAUUGAUUGCUGAUUUUAUGUUGUUGAAGUGUUGCUACUUUUGUAAUAAUAUAACAUCGACCAUAUUAACAAGAUGAUAGCACUUCAUUACAUCAGUAACCCAUAUGCUUGUUGCAUCUAAAAUAUAUAGUUCUAUCUCAGACUUCAUAUUUUGUAGGGCUCAACUGCUUAGAGUGAUGAAGACUUGCAUAACAGUCUUACGUAAAUAGCAGGCUAUGGCCUUUGCACGUGCUGUAGCAGCAGGGUUUGUUAUCGACAACUUGUUGUAUUUGAUCACUUUUGCAGAGCGUUUUGGUUCUUCUCGCUUGAUGUAAGUACAAUGUUCUUGUGUCUAAUUAUAAUAUCUUGGUUGCUCGAUUGGAUAUCUCAUUUUUAGUAUCAUGUACAUCUUCCUUGGCUCCUCGUGAUGUUGUUGAGACUACAAUUUAUCUUCAACUGACUCUACAUUAUAACUAUGGAUUUUACUCUAGUGACAAUGACAGUUAACGAAGGAGCCAUGGUGUAGGCAAUUACCAAACAACGAGUUGUUGAGAAUCCAAAUAUUUGUAGUUUUUGCAAUAUGCAAGUAGCUUCAGCUAUUUAUCUUUUUUCCAGUACCAUAUGUAUCAUGUCGAAUCACAUUAUAGAUUGUUCUUGUUGAAAAUCCUAAUCCUCAAUCAGGAUGGACUGUGUUGCAUACAUUAUAAAAGGAGCUACAUGGUUGUAUGUUGUCGCAGCGCAUGGGUA